AAUCAACGCUGGCGGCGUGCCUAACACAUGCAAGUCGAACGCGAAAGUCCCGCAAGGGGCGAGUAGAGUGGCAAACGGGUGAGUAACACGUGGGUGACCUGCCUUCGAGUGGGGAUAACGUCCCGAAAGGGACGCUAAUACCGCAUGAUAUCCUGCCUUUGAAGAGGUGGAGAUCAAAGCUGGGGAUCGCAAGACCUAGCGCUCAAAGAGGGCCCGCGCCUGAUUAGCCAGUUGGUGGGGUAAUGGCUCACCAAGGCAACGAUCAGUAUCCGGCCUGAGAGGGCGGACGGACACACUGGGACUGAGACACGGCCCAGGACUCCUACGGGAGGCAGCAGUGGGGAAUUGUUCGCAAUGGGCGCAAGCCGUGACGACGCAACGCCGCGUGGA
rnacentral:rRNA from 1 species